rnacentral:rRNA from 1 species
GACGAACGCUGGCGGCGUGCUUAACACAUGCAAGUCGAACGGAAAGGCCCUGCUUUUGUGGGGUGCUCGAGUGGCGAACGGGUGCGUAACACGUGAGUAACCUGCCCUUGACUUUGGGAUAACUUCAGGAAACUGGGGCUAAUACCGUAUAGCAGCUCCUGCUGCAUUGUGGGGGUUGGAAAUUUUCGGCGGUUGGGGAUGGACUCGCGGCUUAUCAGCUUGUUGGUGGGGUAGUGGCUUACCAAGGCGUUGACGGGUAGCCGGCCUGAGAGGGUGACCGGCCACAUUGGGACUGAGAUACGGCACAGACUGCAACGGGAGGCAGCAGUGGGAAAUAUUGCACAAUGGGCGGAAGCCGGAUGCAGCAACGCCGCGUGCGGGAUGACGGCCUGCGGGUUGUAAACCGCUUUCGCCUGUGACGAAGCGUGAGUGACGGUAAUGGGUAAAGAAGCACCGGCUAACUACGUG